UACAGAGGGUGCAAGCGUUGCUCGGAAUCAUUGGGCGUAAAGGGUAGGUAGGUGGUCUCAUUUGUCCAGGGUGAAAUCCUUGAGCUUAACUCAAGAAGUGCCCUGGAAACGGUGAGACUAGAGUCCUGGAGAGGGUCGUGGAAUUCCCGGUGUAGCGGUGAAAUGCGUAGAGAUCGGGAGGAACACCAGAGGCGAAGGCGGCGACCUGGACAGGUACUGACACUGAACUACGAAAGCGUGGGGAGCAAACAGG
rnacentral:rRNA from 1 species